UUAGUAGCCUAAUUGAACAGGCGAGCCAGUGCACGAGCUCCCAUUGUGCCCAGCGCUCAAACGUCAUGCCCACGUGCGCCAGAAGAGGUCCAGUUGCAUCUGUAGAUGCGACAGAAAACAAACGACCGCUUAUGUCGCUGUGUGAUUAACCGUGCAAAGCAGCUUGUUUGGAAGUCCUCAACACACACAGGGAGAAGAAGAAUUUGGAUUUCGGCCAAUGCAUACUAAUACUAAAGUGUGUCCUUCAUUUGGGCCCUGCUAUGUUGAGGUGUGUCAGC